UACAAUCGAAAUACUGUAGCAAUGAAAACAAUGAGCAGGCGCAACAGCCGCAUCAUCUAUGUAGGCAACCUCCCUGGGGACAUCCGUGAGAGGGAGGUAGAGGAUCUCUUCUACAAGUACGGAAGGAUUUUGGAUAUCGACUUGAAGAUUCCUCCAAGACCUCCUGGUUAUGCUUUUGUUGAGUUUGAGGAUCCCCGUGAUGCUGAUGAUGCGAUCUAUGGGCGUGAUGGGUAUAACUUUGAUGGCUACAGGUUGCGGGUUGAAUUAGCUCAUGGUGGAAGAGGUCAGUCUUACUCUUAUGAUCGUCCAAGCAGCUAUAGCAGUGUACACCGUGGAGGUGUUUCUAGGCGCUCUGAUUAUCGCGUUAUGGUCACUGGUUUACCUUCAUCAGCAUCGUGGCAAGAUCUGAAGGACCAUAUGCGACGCGCCGGCGAUGUCUGUUUCUCUGAUGUAUACCGUGAGGCGGGAGAAACUAUUGGUAUUGUGGAUUAUACAAACUAUGACGACAUGAAAUAUGCGAUUAAGAAGCUUGAUGAAUCGCAGUUCAGAAAUGCAUUUUCACGGGCUUGUAUCAGAGUGAGGGAGUAUGAUGCUAUAUCACGAAGCAGGAGCCGUAGUCGCUCGUACUCGAGAAGUCCCAGUUACAGCAGGAGCAGGAGUCCAAAAUAUGUUUCUCGGUCACCCUCGCCUGUGCAUGAAAGGUUUGCUUCUGUUUUUCCUAGAUCUGGCCAUGCAGCGAUCUGGGGACUGCAUUGCUAGAAUAUUGGAUCUGUUUGAGAAUCAGAGAGGAUGUUUUGGAACUUGGGAUAGUAGAGCUGGAUGGUGAUGCAUGCCUGACAGUAAGGAUACGCGAAGUGGAUCUUAUGAUCCCUAUCAAGGUCUCAAUCCCCUGCUUCUUCUCCUUCUCGUGGAAGAUCUGUGAGCAGAAGCAGGAGCAGGAGCUUAUCCCCUUCUCGUUCUCCUGUGAGAUCUGAUUGAACUUGGAUACCAUUGAAGCAGUGAGCAACUAUCCAGAUAGGGGAACAUGAGAAGAACAUGGAUUACGAUAACGAUGUUCUUGGUGACUCCAUUGUUGCCACUGCUCUCCCUCACUUGGGAGGGCGCCUUUUAUUUAGUGCUUAAUAAUUAUAUCAUGUUAUGAAAGAGAGCCUCAUGCGUAGCAUGCUUGUGUAAACUGAACUUGUGCGUUCUAGCAGUCAUGCGUAGCAUGCGGAGGAUAAUCUGUACUUUGUGGUGGCUUGUCUUACCGUAAGUUCAUUGCUGCUGUAUGCAUCGCAGCUCAUUUGAUUGCUGGUAUACCUUUUAUCAGUAGUUUGGCCAGUACACAGUUAUAUGGUUUCAGUGUGCUACUGGUAUAUUGUUUAAAUGUUAUGAAUUUUUUUGGGCUUGUUUGGGGCAUGUA